rnacentral:lncRNA from 1 species
GGAGGAGGAGGCGCAGUGGAGAAGAUGAAGAAGCAUGAGAGAGAAUAACGUGAAGAUGCGGAAAAGGAGACGUGAGAUGCGACCGAUGUGGAAGCGAGAGAAAGAGUGUGUGCAAACACGCGCAUCAAGACGGAGGAGAGCGAUGAGAGAGAAGGCUUCGUUUCGAUGCAGAAGAAUACUACUACCGCUACCACUUGGCCGAGAACGUUGGCAGGGGACGUUUCGGGGGAGCGCUUGAUGUCCGGUCGCGAUGAGCAGAUGAUGAUGAUGAUGAUGAUCCGAAUCUCAACGUCACGGCAUCGACUCACUACAUUUCACAUGUUACAUAUAUAUAUAUAUAUAAUUAAUUAAUUAAUUCACCAAACCCCAUGACAUGGAUGGAGCAAAGCGACUUCUCUACAUGCUUAAAAGGUUAUUGAGGGAGAAAAGGAGAAGUGCCACAGCAACGUGAGAAAGCGGACUAAUCUCUCUCUGCCUUCAAUCAUCUGACCAGAGGAAGUGGUCGAUGGCGUCCUUCCUCUUCUGAGUAACGUCUCCGUUGGACGGCAGGCCAUACUCCCUGAGCAGGAGAUCGAGCUGCACCUCGUCCAUGGACUCGUACUGCGCCUUGGUGUACCUGGGAUAGUGCAGCGGCAUCUUAAAGUACCCUGCGCUGUUGUGCCAGUGGCCCCUGCACUCCGGCGGCCUCGUCGCCUCCACAGAUGGUUUCAUGUCCACCGUUGUCGACGCCACACCACUGCCCGGGCACAUGAUCUUCUCUCUCUCUUUCUCUCUCUCUCUCUCUCUCGUGGUCUGCGACACGAAAAAAACAGGGUUCGAUCCGUGGGGGCUUUUAUAGGGUGAGCGAGGAAAGGUGAGAGCGGGGCUGCUAAUAUAGGAAGUUGACGUAGGCCAGUGGUUUCAUCGCUGUAGGAAUCCAAGUGAUCCGACGGUUCCUCUUUAUCUCCAGAGGCUUCCGGGGACGGGUUUUCUUUGCGUGCAAGAAUGUCAUUCCUGUUCUUUUGAUCAUGAUCUAAUCAGACGGUUGGAUGUGGAGAGACGUGCGGUGCAGGGGGAGGCUGUCGGCUGCGUAAGCCGUUCCAUCUCUCUGCCUCGAAGCUUCGGGAACGGAACGAGGGCGUGAAGCAUCAAAACCUAACCUGCAUACAAAGAUCACAAGAUAGUAAAUGUAACACUUACGCCGUGGGCUUCGAUUAUGUUUCCAUAAUGAAUUAAUAAUUGGAAAUGCAUGUAAUCGUAACAAUCAGGUUCUUUAUUUUGUUUUUGUUUUCUCUUAUAAUACCAGUAGAAACUCUGCUAAAGAAUGAACAGAUCCAAGAUCUAGAUUGACCAUCAUUCGAUGAUUGUGCGGCUGCUUAUAUGUUACGUAUCGAGCUAUUAUUAUAUUAUCAACAGAAAAAAGAAAUCCAGUCAUUUUUGCUGCUUACUGUUUGUUGUUCAGUGUUCUUCACAAGUGCGGGAAGCUGCCAUCAGUCGUAGGUAGAAACAUCUGCUGAACUUCUAUGCUUGACUAGCACUUUAAUCAACCUUUCUGCAACAAAUAAUGUGACAUAAGUGGAGUGUCUGAACAGAGAAUGCAAGUUUAUAUGAUUGGGGAUCUAUUGUUGAAUUUUUUAUACAGCCAUAAUACAGCAUCCACUUAUAUAAUAAAUGUAUGAACAGAGACUGCAAGUUUGUACAGAGAUCAACACUUUUUAGCUAGAUGGAUUUGUAAUUCAUAUGUUGCCGUAAGAAAGAAAUUGACUUAUGUAGAUAACAGUUACAAUGACCACAUGGAGCCGUAAGGUCCAAACUAUUUGCGAUCAGCUCAUAAAUCUCUUCCCGCCAUUCAGUUUUGCCGAGGACAGUAUCACUCAUCAAAGCAUGUAUCUAACAAAGUGUAAAACUCAGUCCGAGAAUUGAUCGAUGUUUACUGGACUCGGCAACCUUGUUCUUCAGCCCUAAGGAAGAUAAGCCCACGGGAAAUCCUCUGUCGACAAACAUUUAAAUAACAGAGUCAUUACAACUGACUACAGGAAAUCAUCACCAAUUUGUUUCAAAGGCAUACCUCCCUCGUGUCGCGUAACCGCAAUAGUUCCAAUCUCUCAGAUGGCCUCAAGUUUAACAGAUUGAUGAGCUGCUAGACAAGAAGAAUGUUAAUAUACUAAUACUAUCAUGUGACCUGUGAAAGUUCAAGGGUACAACACAGAUACCCAGAAACUGAAACGUUCAGGAUCUUGCGGCUUAGGUAUUCCUUCAGUUUCAAGAAGUUCCAGUUGCCUUGAUCUUCUACCUGGAAAAAAAAAGAUGGAAUUGACCAAUUUGUGUUUGAGAGAAACAGGGCAAUAAGAUGAGAAAAUACACUAGGUAACGCUACCACUGUGGUCAGACAUAUGCAAUGGGCAGUAACCUAGCAAUACAAUAUACUGCUUAAAAUUAAACAAUCAAACAUCAACUCUGCUGAACAAAAAUGUUUGGAAGAUGAAAAACAUGAUGCUUAAAGUAUCUGCAGACCUAUAUCAUUUACCAAUAGCUGGUAGGGAAACUGUAAUAACUUUAGUGUGGAAUCACUGGACUCUUAUUGUUUGGUGAACCUGAUGCAGAAUGCAAAGUGUUGUAUGUCAGGCAUGCAUAUCGGACUCAUAGAGUACCUAUUCUUGUAACUUCUCUUGCACGCUUGAUCCAUGAUUUAGUCAAUUCUGCUGCUCCACUGGCCAUUUGCCGUAUCUGUUGAUAAGCCAACAAUAGACAAUCAAUUUGACAGGUGCUUGUGCAUUGCAUGAUCUGUCUAUGAAAAAAUAGUGUGGAUGUGUAAUCCAGACAAUCUUCUAAGCUGUAAAUUGCUUAGAUAUGAAAGAGAGGUUAGUCUGAUGAAAGUUGAUUUGUUAGAUUAGACAAUAUCAAAGAGAGGUAAUGUGCAAUUGUGCACCGAGGCGAUAAUCUCAUACAUCGUAAGUUGUGAGAUAUUGAUCAUAUAGACUUGCAAUUCUUUAGUCUAAAAUAAAGGUAUAAUAAAAGAGACAAGUCAGGUUCAAAGAUUGGCACUAUAAUGUAGGAAACGACACCAAAGUAGUCCAGAAAUAACAGUCUAGGACUACAGACUUAUGAUGAUCUUGCAACCCUAUAUAUACAACGAAGUGUUAAUAUCUAGAACCAAACAUCAAAAUUAGCCACCUCACAAUCAGUACUAAAACAACAAUUUACUGGUCAUUUAGCUGAUAUGAAAAGUAAAAACAGGAAAAAUUAUUGUUUCAAGGAAUCCACUGGGUUUAAUAGCUUGUUGCUUUGAUGUAUAGCAAUGGCCAAUCUUCUGCAUAUUCUAAUAGAUUAAAGUAAGUUGCAAUGCAACCCUUUUUAACCAAAUGAAAAAAGAAGUGAUUACAUGAUUGGGCAGAUUACACUACAAAUAUACUGACCAUGCCUAUCUAUAUUGAGCAGAACUCUGACAACUUGUAUUUUAACUUUGCAUAAGAUAGCAACUCACUCAAGGACAGAUGGGAACAAAGAUGUUGUAUGAGGUGUCCCCAUUAGUGAAAAUUUCCAUUAAGCUCUAUUUUACUAUAAAACAAUCUUUCUUGUCUAUACAUUAGCUUAUAGCAAGAAAACAGGGUGGAUGAUAAAGGUACAAUUUACUUGAAUCAUAAAAUCAUAUAUACUUCUGGAACCCAACAGCUACUGUAACGAAAUCAUCAAGUCACCUACUUCAUAAGUCCUAUUUGUUAAAGAAGAAAUAUUCUGUUGUCAGAUAUUGAAGGAAGUUAGCAAAGGAUCAUGUCAUGCUUACAUCCUCCCUCUCUUGGGAAUCUUCUGGUGGAAGUGUAUCCUGAAUCCAUUCCACUUCUGCAACACGAUACCUGUGAUGAUUUAUGAAUAACAUUACCCUUUACCUGACUGCACAGUUAUAUAGAGUAGCUUGGAAAGUUAAAACAAUUCAAAAAUGCUAAAUCAUGUCUGGACAUUACUCACCCAUCUUGAUCCCAUGACCGUAAGAUAUGAAACCGCCUUCGUCCUUCUACCUAGAUACAAUUACAUAUCUCAACAUUAGUUUAGAAAGUGUUUAAUCUGAACUAAUCUAUUCUAGAUUUUUAGUAGCCUAAAUCAGGCCUGAACUAGUCAUCCUUCUAGCUGUGCAGUUAAUGCUAUUAAGCAUUAACCAUAUUGCAGCAGCUUACAAUAAGAAAUAUGUUCCACAUCUUUCUCAGUCCCCGUAGCUUACUAUCUUGAGCAAUAAAGCAUGAAGAAGUGAACUGAAUAUGGUAAUCAUGGACUUCAGAGAAUAUCACUGCACAUGCUCCUGGGUCACAAUCCACUCUCUCUCAUUCAAAUCAUUGAUGGAGCCACAGAUCAUGACCAACCAAAAUUCUCAGACUCUUCUUUAAAUCUGGUAUUGUAAGUUCCCAUAGCAUUGUUCUACCGACUAUGUAGGGACAUAAUAAUGAAAAAAUUGGAAAAACAGUACAACCAAAAACAGGGCCACAACUGGGGGACCACGACCAACUAAGAACAACAAUAUCAAUUUAUGGUGUAAAUUAUGGUUGAUAAAGCAUAUCAAAUAAUUAGAUAUAUCAAAUAAAGGAAAUAAUCUUGGUGAACAACAUACACAGAGAUAUAAUAUAUUUGAGAGUUGUAUUAUAUUAUUUGGUACAAUACAUUAUUGCAUUCCAAUUGUCAGUGAACAUUCGAGCUUUAUUAUAACCAAAUCCUAAGAUCAUUGCUAUGUAAUCCGCAAACUGGCUUUAAUCUUGAAAAACCAAUUAUUAUCUUUCCCAGAACUAUACAAAUUAUGCAAAAAAUGGAAACAAGCCAAAUAAUCAUUCCGCCUUGGAAAUUGAUUAUCAAAUGACCAAUCACCAAUAACUUCUGGCUUAAACAGUGCGUGCAAAUGUCUCCUUAUAUAGUUGUUAAUACUUAACAAUGUCUUGCUGAUUAACAUUUCCAAGUAAUCCUUAUUUUAUUGAGUUCCUUGACCCAAUUCAAGGUACUUUUGUGUGCCAAAACUAUUGUAUACCACCCUGAUCACUGAAUUUUGGAUCCAGUUUUCUCACUGUCGCUCAAUUAAUAUAAACAUACCAACUAACAAAUUUCAGACAUUCCUAUAAAUUCCAUAAACUUAAUGUUUAUAUAGUUUUAGUUCUUCUACUGCCAUUGUUAUUGACACAAUUAGAUGUGCAGUUAAUAACUUAGUGAGACUAAGUAUUUACCUUAGGUAGCAAUUUAAGUAAUUUAAAACAAGGAAAUAAUUUCAGAUGUCAACCCUAUAUAGGUCCCUUUUUGGGCUGUUGUGAUUUUCAGAUAUCAACCAUACAUGAUAUGUCAAGGGACAAAUCUAUAAAAUUGUAGACGAACUGGUAUGCUCCAAUACAGUGUGAAAUAUUGCAUACUGGUAUGUUUUCUUUUGGGGCACGAUAUGGUGAUACACCACAAUGCUUGAAUCCAUAAUUUUAAUGCAUGGAAGCAAAAGAACCAACCCUAAACCCCACCUACCAUAAACCGUGUUGCAUACCACGACCCAUACCCAUACCACAAUCCAGAAUGUUCCACAUUCCAAUAAACCACCACAUAAAGUGUCAACACAUAAUGAAAUGGACAUGAUUAAAAUAGUGCAACCAUAAUGACAUGAAGUGGAUAAACAUAACUGGUAUAGAAUGAGCAAACAAAAUUGGUAAGAGAAAAGUAAACAGUAUGUUUAAGAGACCUCAAGGCACACAAUGCAAUAUUACCUCCAAAUAAAACCGGCCAUCUGGAAGUGGUUCACACCUAUCAAAAUUUUAAAGCAAAUUAUACUUUAGGGAAGCCAAUAAAGCACAUUAUCAUAUGGUGACAACUUACAACACUGAAUAAGCAGGCAUAAGAUCAGAAGAGAAGCAACACUUACUCAAGAAUUUCUACUUCACAAGCAAAAUCAGCAAUUGAACCUGUUGAAGGAUCAACACCGACCUGCCAGUUACACCAGAAAAUAAAUGAACAAAGAAUCCAGAAUUUAUUGUUAAAGAAAGGCUAGGAACAACGUAUAACCAUUCCCAUCCGAUGAUUCCCUUCCAUUACUCUCCUCACCUAUGAAUUGUGAAGGAACUUAGUAAGAUAAAAGAAGAAUUAUUACAAAUAACAAAACAAAGGCAACAAAAAGACAUUAAAACUCAUUUAUCUAAAAGUUGAAAAAUACUAAACCAUGUGCCUAGUCUUAGGCUGACCAGGAUAACAGUAUAACCUUUCAAGAUCAAAAUAGCCUACAACUUCAUUAAUUUACUGGCUCCACGACUAUAAUUUUUUUUUUUUCAAGUUACUUUAGAGCCUAAAACAAUGUGCAGAAAGGCAUGGCAAGCAACGCAAUUCACCUUUAUAGACUUGCUAAGACUUUAGUCCACAGCUUUCAAGUAACUUUUUAAUAGAUUUCACCACUACAUACACAAAAUACAGUUGCAAUUGGUCGGAAAAAAAAACUGAACCAGUAUUCAAGAUCAUCUUACAUUGGAAAAGUUUAGAGUUUAUGGUUGAAAAAUACUAUUUAUUGGACUAAAUUUAAAAGAUAAUAUAACCAUAUUUUCAUAAUAUUGCAGCACACGCCAGUCAAGUCAAGUUCAGCUGUUACAUUAUAGUUACAGGUUUCAAAGAAAUAUCCACAACUGUUCCAAGUUAUGAUGAUCUUUCUAUUUGCCUCUGAAAUAUUUUUGCAGACUUGAGCACAUUUUAAACAAUCUAUAUAAAAAGAAUGAAAUCCACAGAGAAAACUGAUCUAGAGACGUUAUAUUUAGAGAAUAAAGAGCCUAAAAAAAUACAUACCAUUAGCCGAUAGCGAGGUUCAAAUAUAUUCAGUGACAACUUUUGACAUGGGAGGACAACAUCCAUGACAAAAAGAGGCAUUAUAUCAACUCCUAAGUGCGUCAAGUUUUCUUGCUCAGACUUCCUUUCAGCAAAUUCUUCUGGAAAGUUUUUCUGUAUAAUAUUGUUUAAUGUCACGCUGAAAAAGUGAAUUGACAGCGAUCAGAAAUGCCAAAGAAGUAUUUUGGUCCACUAAACUUCAGAAAUGUUGUGGAACAACAAAACAACUAAAAAAGCACUUUAUUGUAGAAAGUGUAAUAAUCACAAAAUGUACAUUACCUGAUGGGAUAUGUUCUUGGGCUAAUAAAUAAGACUGUCCGACACAUAGGACACUUGUUGCCUGCCGGGAGACAACAUGUGAUUUAAGUGUUUUAAAGGAUAAUGGUAGAGACAAAUAAAAAAAAUACUAGGCACACCAUGGUCCAUAGUCUGAUGCAGACAAGAGCGACAAAAUGAAUGCCCACAAGGAGUGGUGACAGGUUCAUACAGUAACUUGAGACAUAGUGUACAUUCAAAGUCAUCUGUACGUUGUGGUUUUGAGCGUUUGACCUUUUUGACUGAACCAGCUGCAAGUCUAUCCAUCUCUUGGAGGUAUGUCUGGAGGAGAUUGCUAUAAGGUAAACAAAUUAGUCAUGCAAAAUUUCAUGGACCAGUAUGACCAUUUCUUUAUAGUGCAUAAGUGGAACCUUAACAUUACACCAAGGCUUGCCCUCAAAAACAUUACUGAAUUUCUAAAAACAUUGCAAAGAUGUACCAGACCAACAAAAGAAAAGAACAACUGGCAAGCACAUAGUGGAUGUUAUACCUAAGAGGAUCAAUUUGAAGGCCUGCAAUAAUUGUCUCGCGUGCCUCCUCAUACCGCUCAAGCUGCAGAGCAAGAGGAGCGAAGCAUAAGGUAAAUUUAAGAAAGUUAACAAGAGUAAUGGAUUAGCUUCUAGUGUUCUCAGUUUCAGAAAAACACACACAUGAUACUUUAUUUCAUGCUAACCAUCGAUCAGGAAAUAUUGUUAGACACUGGGAUCUCAUUACAUAAUGGAGCUUCCCAGUAUGUAUACCAUUGGAAAAGGUAGCUUUGCCAUUCAAUUUCAAAUCUGUUGAUACCCAAGAGAAGUAUAACAACUUAAACUAUCAAAGUUCCAACCUGUCUUGAGCACUAAUUCUGUUCGAGGUAGAAAUAUAAGGAGCUGAACCACACUAAACCAGACCUAUCUUAUUUAGAUGGCACUAGAAACUAAAAGGGAUAGAAAUCAGUCUAAGUUGAGCCUUCUACAACCAAUAUAAUCUGAUAAUAAUAACUCGACCUCAUAUAUUCUCGUAUGUGUGUCAAUGACGAGGCAAUGGUCACAACACACAUGAUCCACAUCCUAAAUUACCAUGCCUAAGAAAUAUAGCAUCAGUGGAAAGAAGAACCUUAAGAUCAGUUUAGCCAUGAGGAUAAUCUGCAGUACAAAGACCUGAAACUACAACAAUCAAAAGCCAGCACCAUUCAAGGUAUCAAACCAGUUACUAAAAUAAACUGAUAGCUCAGGAAAGCCCCUUAACUGAGUUCCACAGUGCUGCAAAAUGUGAAUCCAAAAAAUAAACAUAUCACUUUAAAUUUAAAGAAUGCAUAGGCAUUGAUCUUAACCUAAAUCUUCCGUAAAUCUAUAAUGCCUUCUCAGUCUUGAGUUUUAGACAAUUGCUGUCCCAGACUGAUGUUAGACAGCAGUGAAUCUAUGAUGACAAACUGUAGUGAAACCUCGAUAAAAUUGACGAUAAAUUGUUCCUGUGAAAACAUUACUUUCUAUGACACAAUAUUCACCAUCUAAGCUAUUAGUACAGAAAAUACGUCACUGACUGAAUUUAAUCGGACAAAUAUCUAAUUCCGCUUGCACCUAUGAUGGAAAGCAUGUUUUCUACUUUCAAAUUAUUCUAAAGCAUCAAAUCUCCUUUAUUUAUGGAAGUGGCAAGAACUACUAGCAGUUGUUGAGAAAAUAUUCUGAAGUCUUCAAGUGUUAUGAAAUGCCAAAAGAAGAUUUAUGUGCCUGUUUUCAUACUUUGAAAACUCAGUGGCACAAUUACAUCGUGUCAAGGGGCCUAGAACUCGACAUUACUUCCAUCUGAACUUAUUCCUUGCUUCCUUAGCCUACUUUUUCUUGUCACUAACAAGCCACCCUGGCAAUUCAAUCUGGACCCCUCAGGUUACCGCAACUUAAGCAAGCCUGAUACAUUAGUUUGAUCCAUCAGGUAUACAGGUUAUGUUGAAGGGUGAUUGAUUCAUUGACAUGUUGAAUGGUUUUGACCCUGAUCAUAUUACCCUCUUAAAGUUGAAAGUUUAAUAGAUACACUGAGUAGAUGGAAUAAUUUGGUUUUGACCCUGAUCAUAUUACCCUCUUAAAGUUGAAAGUUUUAAUAGAUACACUGAGUAGAUGGAAUCCAAAUGAUUCUAGAACCUAACAAGAGAGCAUUAAAGCUAGUUUUCUUGAUUUCUACUUGAUACAAAAGCUAUCUCUCCCAAAUAUAUUCAAAGAGUUUUCUUCUUUUUCCCAUAACCACUGGUGCUAGUUAGCAUAUCCAUCAAUUGCCACAAAGAUUACUGUCCCUACUGAAUGAUCUAUCACGUCUCUUCUGUAACAAUAGUUGGAACUUGAGCUUGAUAUUAGAAUACAACCUCAAUGCUUUCUGAUUUCAGAUCAAAUCUGAAAUAAAUUUAAAAUUAAUUACUUCUGAGUAUAUGAAUACACACAUUGAGCUUCCUUUCAUUGAUCCACUAAUCAGUCUGGUCACAUGCAAAGCCCAAGCGAGACUUGCUAUCAGACUUGACCAACCCAGCCCAUUUCCAGGCCUGCAAACAGGCUAAUAUGUUUCUGGUGGGAAAGUGUGGAGUUAGUUCUUUAUAUCUGGCAACUCUUUAGGUGCUAUUCUGUCUUUAAGUUCUUCAUGAAGCUUCACAUUGUAAUGUUCAAAUUAGACAGUAGCCAAUGCUUUUAGUGAUUUUGGACAGACAGAACAAAGCUAGAAAUCUUCCUGCUUCAGUAGAAGAAAAUGGAAACACAAUAUUAGCAAAAAUUCAACUGACCUUUAGAUUAUGCAACAAAAUAGAAAAUAGUAUUUCAAAAAUAGAUAUAAUACAACACAUGGAUGCUGACAACAAGUAUCCUCCAAAUGCCAAAACAUAUAAGACAGGUGGCAAAAUAGAAGCACCGGUGAAGUAUCAUUUUUAGGCAGAGUAGCAAGGCCAAACUACUAAUGUUCAGAAAAAAAAAUGUUUUUCAAUAGAAAACUUUCCAAGGACAACAAUCUCAACAAGAAAAAAUCCCAUGUAAAUAACAACAGUCCAAAAUUAAAUAAUCAUUAUUUCUCCAAUUGUUACCAGAACAAGAGCAUUGGCCUUCAGGAAAUAUGCUUUUGGUGAGUUGCUCCGGAGACUUAUCACUUUUUCAGCAUCCUUCAAAGCAAGCUAACAUAUGGCCAAAUAAACUUGCAUUGUCCAUCAGUGGGACAAAAAGAAUGGAAUUUUGGAUCCAUUAUACAGUGAUCUAACUGGAGAUUGGAUGAAGUAAAUGGACAGGUGUACCUCAGCAUGUGUAGUAGGGUCUAGACCAUUUAACGGUUGAUAUUCAGAUUCACGUGCUGAUCGUUCCCUAAGAAGUUGACUGAUCCUGUUAUUUAUAAACAUUAAAUUAGCAGGCAUCUUUUAACAUACUAAACAAUGUCGUUAGAUAUUUGUAAGCACAAUGAACUAGAGUCAAAAUGCAGAAGCACAUAGAUUAAGCCUCAGUAAAAUGUAUGAUAAGCAAAAGCGAAACCAUCAUAUAAAAAUGAACCUGCAGAAAGCAGCACUUCGAUUGCUAAGAAUGACACAGUCUCGUGGCUUCAAAAGUUGAGCUUUUGAGUAAAAAGAAACUGCCUGCACAAAAUCUCAAUAGAGAAGAGCAUUAUAAACAACACCAAUUUAAACUGUAUAUCAUCUAUAGAAUAACAGAACAGUUGGGUUAUCCCAUGAUAAAUAUAUUAUAUGAUAAAAGCUCAGAAAUAUUAUAUAUAUAUAUAUGUUUAACUGGAUUAAGAAAGUAAAUAAAUCACUUGAUCUAAGAGAACAAACAUAUAACUGAAUGCUCUUCAUGCAAGAGAGAUCGGGAAUACUAAAAUAUAAUACUUCAUAUACGUAUAUGAGUAUCCAUAGAUAUAAUUUAUCAGAUAGAUACAAUGACUGUGUAAUUUAAAUGUCUAAUGCACGAUAGCCAUCAUAUACACAACAUAUCAAAUAAUAGAAAUAUAUAUGAUCUCUUCAUGUGCCUCUUAGAUAAAAUAAAAGCAAUUAUAAAACAAUUACAAUGUUUGCUGUAAUUCAUAAAUCUCAAUGUUGAGCAAAUAGAGAAAAAUACAUCUAAAAGGUUCAGUGUUGCCCAGGUAAGGUUGUUGAAUUGACAUGUGGGGUUAAUACAAAUUAUAAAAGAGAAAAUAAUAAAACGAUGUAAACUAUCAGCAUUGGCAACAAAUUAUGAGUCAUUUCAGUUAAUAAACAAAAUGAGGAGAACGCUUUAAGGUGGCUUGGACAAAUCUGAGGUAGCCUUAUUAUAUUGCCCCAAAUUAGUGGAAGUAAUGACAACGAGGGGAAGACCUAAAAAAGACUAUUCAUUUGGUUAUAAUAUUGCCCACCAAUGAUGGGAAAAGAUCCAAGUAGCAAAGCUCAAAAUAGUUGGCAUUUACGAAUUGAUUUUGUUGUUGUAUAUAGUUUAAAAUGUAUAUGGUCAUAGGGAUGCAUCAUUCUCAUUUAUAUACUGCCAGUUAUUAUAAGAUUAUGGUCAAUAUCCUUAUGCUAGCUGACAUGAGGCCAACAGUGGAGUGGAAUAGAGGAAAGGAAGGAAAGUGGAGUUGGUAAUUGGGAUGGGAUGUAGGAUACGUAAGAAUCAAAGAAUCAAAUUAUGGAAAAGGGUUGGGUAUAGUUAUUACACACCAGACCUGCGCUAUGUCUACUAGGUGGCUGGAUCAUUUGUUGAGCUUAGAUAAGUUUACAAUAUAAUGGAAUGGGUCAAAACUUCUUGCCGCCAAGCACAUCACCGGCCCUUUUCUCAACACCCAUACAUCCUCUAGCUCUAGUUUCUCUCUGGAUCAUGCCACCACUUCAUUCACUGCUUGUGCAUUAGUUUCCCAUGUUGCCUAUUCUCUAUUGGCCUGCCUUACACCUCCACCUCCCGCCUUCCCCUCAUUAUAUGCCAAAUUCACUGUCAAGUGUCCGACACUCCACCCUUUCAAAUCAGAUAUAACCUUAAGAGUGGGUGUCCUCCAAGUUUGAUACAUAAGAACUAGUGCACAUUUUUUGACAGACCUCCUAUACCAAUGAACUCAUGAGUGCAGAAUUCAAUGGAUUGCCCAACAUUCCUAAGAUACCAUCUAGAUGAAACAUCCAAGAAAUGAUGUCAAUGAUCAUGCUACAGUUUAAAGGACUUUCUUUUUUGGAAACACAAAAUUUUUUUAAUCAUAGAAAUCAACUAAGCAAAAAGGAAGACCCUUUCUUUAGCCAAGUUCCUGGUCACACAUCAUGGCAUCAAAUUGGCAGAUAAUUAAUUUGAGCUUCUUGGCUUCCUCCCUGACAUGACUAUCUUUAGAUGAAACAGUAUCUACACUCAUGGUUCUUGGGCCAGGUUUCAUGAGUCUUGAAUAACAUCAAUCAAUCCACCACUCGGUCAUUCACGGCCUUCGCCCAAGACUUGCAGAAAAAUCGAAUGAAACUAGUCAAGUGACUCUACCUCCCAUGGUCAUACAAGUGGAUCAACGCUUUAAAUCCUACAAAACCAAUGCAAGAAGCGAUUUCUGCACCGAUAAAGCAUGAACAGGGCAACAAGGACUUCCCAAUUUCAUUCCUGCAUUACAAAUCUUCUGCGCCUCAUCAACCGAGAUCGGUUCAGCGAAGAUUUUGAGACAGAUCACACCGACGACAGCCGUCUCUCUCCCACAUAAGCACCAAGAUCGGAAGCAAAACCCAAAGUCUUAAUUCGAGCCGAGAAAGCUCACCUCCUCGAACCUCUUGUCGCGGAAGGCACGAUUCCCUCGGCGCACGAGAUCGAACACCUCGGAGAACUUCUCCACCGGCAUCCCCAUCUCCGCCUCCUCCACCUGCGCUCCUCCAAGAAGAUCAAACACCAACAAAGAAAAGGAAAACAAGGAUCGGAUUGUAGAAAAGAAGCAAGAAGGGGCAAGAAAGCGCACCCAGAGGAACUCCUCGACGUCCUGGGAGUCGGCGCGUGGUUGGGAGGAAGGAUCAGCCAUGACUGGGAGAAGAGGGCUCCGGAGCGAGGAGGAGUUGGGGGGAACCAAAGGGGGAGGAAGAGAGUGAAGAUGGGCGGGCGGGCAGGCAAGCGUGGAGUUGUUGGCGUCCCAGAGCUAACGCGCGGCCAUAAGUGGCGCGACGUGGUCCGGUCGCUUCUCCUCCACUCGCCCGCCCCACCGGUGUCUCAGCCAAGGCUGAGAUGCUAUUUUAUUAAUCUAUUUUUCUUUUUUCCUUUUAUUAAAUAAAAUAAUAAGUCAAUAAUUGGAUAUAAUUGAUUGCAAUCCUAAUUAUAUGGCUCCAAUCUUUUGCAGCUAUCCAUGACUUCCAAAUGUGAAUAAUGGCUUGAGCAAGACAAGACGACUUCUUGUGGCCUCGUUGGAUGCAUUGAAACGACGACGCCUUCCGCUUUCUCCCUUUGCUUUGCGUGUAACCUAAGCGUCGUUGCGGAAAGAACUAGGCUUCGGGCUACCGCUUCAUACGUAGGCAGAUGGGCCAAGCUUGAGCUCGGGGCAUAAGCCCGUCGUCUCACGGACCAAAGAUCAAGCACUUGGUCUGCGAUCGCGUUCACCUCCCCCGGGGCCGCAGCAGCAAGAAACGUGCCGCGUAUGCCGCCCGGGGGCAGAUCAAAAGCCUCUUCAGUCUCCAAGCGUUCCUCUCGUCCUCGUCUGCCUCUUUCCAUGAAUGAACACGACUGUCAGAAACGGUGUUUGCUGACCGACAAGUACAACAACGGCUUUCCCUCUGCUGCAGCAAUCAGUCCGCAACUGUAGGCACCGAUCGUCAUUAGUAGCUCCUCCCCUUCAUGCUCGUGUAAAAGGUGAAAGGAAGAAGACGGAAGGCCAGAAAAGAUCGCACGACAUUGCUUGAACGCGAGACUUCAGCGAGGCAAACGCAUGUGCUUGAAAGGGGCAUGGCACCAGCCAUCGCCGCACAGCGAUUCAGGGCCUGGAUCGAAGUAGAAGAUCAUAUCAAAGUCUGGGGAUUACGGGGCUCCAUUAGCUUCUUGUUCCACACGAGGGGAACAAGCCGAAACGAAGGACACGCACAUCCCGGGAUCAAAGGCGUCAAAAGAUUACGACCACCUAAGCGUGCAUGUGCAAUAAGAAAGCAGACGGCCGCCACCUCUCGUUGUCGUCCCUCCCGACAUCCCCGUUCGAUCAUCGAUUGGUCUCUCGGUGAGCCUGGCGGCUCACCAUAUCCUUCUUUUCUUUCUUUCCUUCCUUCCUUCCUUCCUUCCCAGAUCAUGUUUACAUGUGGCUCAGUCCAACGUUCACGUAGAAGAAAUGAUGAGGAGGUGGCGCCGGCCAUCGCUGCUGAUCAGAACUCCACAUGAGCUCGUCCUGUUUCUGGGUGCAGUGAACGUGACAUGUUUGGUGUGAACUACCAAGAGCAAAGGCAACCUUGUCAGUGCAAGACAAAGAAGCUACCAUCGGACUAAUUGUGGGAUGAUGGCGAGACGAAAGAAGCUACCAUCUUCAAAGCAGGUUAUUUAUUUAGAUAGCUAAUCAUGACUCGUUUGAACACACCAAGACCUAAUCGAGAAUCUUGUGGAUGCAAGGACAGAGGUUUGUUGGUACGUAACCUUGAUGCCCAUAAUUGGCACUUGAAGACGAAGAGAAGAAAUAGUGUGCUGAGCAUCCAAAGCAAUGUGUCGAUUAAUUACCACAUCAUUUGUACUAAACAAGUACGUAAAUAAGAUUUUCUUUGUAGAGUUCCUUUUUACUGAAAUAAAAAAUUAUUAAUCAUUAAAUAUCAUGAAUACAAAACUCACAUGUACUAUUAGAGCUAAGAAGCGGAAGCAAAGCUCAGUCUCCUCUCCAAAAAUAAGUAAAUUUGAAAAUCUCAACCUAAUUCCUUCGCCAUUAUAUAAAGAGGUCAAAAUUAUUAAAGAAUCUAAGAAAAAUUUAAAUAUUGUUAGUAUUAUACUGUAGCUGAAUUCGGUCCUAUCCCGGAUGCACAAGAUCGCCCAUGUGGAUAUUUGGGCAACGAAAGUCAUCGUCUGAUUGGGUCGAGCUCGAACCUCACUUUCGAAAUGUUGGGGUUCCCCUUUGAUUAGUUACCUCCUUUCUUAUUGCUUGGUUCUUGCAUACAAGUCGAGGUCUGGAGGGGGAUUCUUCGACUCGACCCCUCCAAAAAAUUAGUUAGAGCUAAGUGAAGACAAGGAAAUCCUCCUCUAGCGUUAGCUCGACGAUGGGUUUUAUAUCCUGCGCAUGGGGACCAAUUGUACUUGACACAUUUAUGGUCAUCGACCCUUUAAGCGACGAACUCGCUUCUCAUGCGGACAACGAUCGUCCUUUGUGCCUUGGCGCCAAACAACGAUGUCGCACUCGAUCGACACCGUCCCGAUUUGAUGGGGCAGUGUUGUACUCGGUCGAUAUCGUCUCGAUCUUUGCGGGAUGAUGUUGUUCUCGGUCGGCGCCGUCCCGAUCUUUGUGGGGUGACAUUGUACUCGGUCGGCACCGUCCCGAUCUUUGCGGGGCGACGUUGUACUCUGUCGGUGUCGUCCUGACCUUUGCGGGGUAGCAUUGUACUCGGUCAACGUCGUCUCAACCUUUGCAAGGCGACAUUGUACUCGGUCGGCGUCGUCCUGAUCUUUGCGGGACGACAUCGUACUCGAUCGAUGCUAUCGUACCCGAGGGGCAUGGUGCCGACAUGAUCCAUCAUCUUGACUUUGAUGCUCCUGAUGUUUGAGGGCAUGUUAUCAAAUUGUGCUAUAUCACAUAUCAUCAUCAAUAAUAAUAUGCUUCAUCUCAACUUAUAGAGAAGCCUGAUAGCUACAGUUUUAGUAGAAAAACACACUUUUCCUAUUGAGUCACGUACAACUAGCGAAUAAAGGAUUACUAAAAUCUCUGAUUUAAAGAUGUUAAUCUUUUGAUUAGCCAGAGUAUGAAAAAUUUUAAGAAUAAUCGAAUAUAAUUUUCUAUUUACUAUUAAAUAUAAAAAUUAUAUUGUUAACAUACAUCAUAUAAAUGUGUCUUCGAAGCAAAAGGAGUGAUGAGUCGUUUAGAGCAAGAAUCAUUGAGCAGGAUUUUCCUUAUAGUGUUAUCUUACUUGCGAACAUGACAAGAUUCUAUAUGAGUCGCUUCAGUUCCCAUAUCUAUCGAAUUGUGUACGUUUACAAAUCAAUCCAUAAUGCAAUGCACCCAAAAUUAUGGGUUAGCAUGAUGCUCCACGUGGCACACGCACUGUGUUUGAUUAUUUGGUUUGGUGGGAUUAACGUUGCACCGUAGUACUGGAGACGACCCAACACAGUGGAGUAAGUAGGCGCCGGCGGACGGCUGCGAUUGAAAGAUCUCUGAUCAACGCUAAUCUCGUGACGCGAAAUACCAAUUGUUGUUUACGAUAUAUUUAAUCCUUUUCUUUUCUUAUUAUUAUUAUUAUUAUUAUUAUUGUUAUUAUUUACGCUGCUUUUGGUUGCUUUCCUCGUUCCCCUUCCCACCGAGCUGAGCAUCUCUCUCUCUCUCUCUCUCUCUCUCUCCUGUCUUCUCCUUGUCCGCUUAUAUAUCCGACUCUGCAACCUCCUCUGGGGGAAAGAGUAUUAUAUUCCAGCUUCUCAGAUCCUAACGGACAACGGCGAUUCGGCCGUUGCUGCGACUGUAAAUUACGGUUAAGUCCAGGGGAGUGAGCUUCGCAGGGCAAGUCCAUGGAGAAGAAGCAGGGGUUCUUCUCGGCGCUGAGGGAGGAGGUGGUGCGGGGACUGUCGCCGGCGCGGUCGCGAUCUCGGGAGAAGAGCACGGGAAGCGGCCGAUCUCCGGCGGCGGAGGCCCCCGCGCUGUUCGCGCCGCGACGGAGGAAGGGCCACGGGCGCCACCAGUCGCUGUCGCUGCCCCCGGACCAGGCAGCGCUGGUCGCUAGGUCCGUGAGCUUCCGGGAGACGCUCGCGCCACUCAUGGAGGGCCCCGACGGCGGCGGCUCCGGAGACGACGAUGGGGCACCGACGAAGGAAGGGUGGGGCCGCUGGGUGAAGGGCCAGCUCUCCCGGGCCCCGUCCGUCACCUCCUCGUCCGCCGGAGGCGCGUCCUCCUCGUUCCGCCGCUCGGACCUCCGCCUCCUGCUCGGAGUCAUGGGUGCGCCGCUCGCCCCCCUUCAUGUCAGCUGCGUCGACCCUCUGCCUCAUCUCAGCAUCAAGAACACUCCCAUCGUGAGCUACGCCUUCUUUUCCUUCAUUGCUCUGUUCACAUCACUUCGUCGGCAAAAGCUACAGCUUGACGCUUUGACGCUCUUAAUUGAUUCCGGUUUUCUCGUUCUCUUGAGACGAAAGCUCCAAAUUUAUUGCCCAAAUACAUCUGUAGCGCCAAAAUGACAUGUUGAUGUAACUUUUCUGCUUGGAUUUAGUUCAUCAUCGCCUAUACUUCUUCCUUUCAGGAGACCUCGUCGGCUCAGUACAUAUUACAGCAGUACACGGCGGCGUCGGGGGGUCUGAAGCUCCAGAGAUCCAUCCGCAACGCCUACGCCAUGGGGAAGGUGAGAAUGGUGGCGUCGGAGUUUGAGACCGCGACGAAAGUCGUAAAGAACCGUGGCGGUUCGUCGCGCACCGCGGAGUCCGGCGGCUUCGUCCUCUGGCAGAUGACCCCGGACAUGUGGUACGUGGAGCUCGCCGUGGGCGGCAGCAAGGUCCACGCCGGCUCCAAUGGCAAGGUGGUGUGGCGCCACACCCCCUGGCUCGGCGCCCAUGCCGCCAGAGGCCCCGUUCGCCCCCUCCGCCGCGCGCUCCAGGUACUUUUUCUUGUGGUCACUGAAUUUGCUUGAGGAAGCCUCGAGCUAUGGAUUCGCUCUGAGUGCAGCUCUCCCUGCAGGGUCUUGAUCCAUUGACCACGGCAAGCAUGUUUGCCGACGCGCGUUGCAUCGGGGAGAAGAAGGUUAACGGGGAGGAUUGCUUCAUCCUCAAGCUCUGCGCCGACCCGCAGACGCUGAAAGCCCGGAGCGAAGGCCCCGCAGAGAUCAUCCGGCACGUCUUGUUCGGCUGCUUCAGCCAGCGAACCGGCCUCCUCGUCCACAUGGAAGAUUCACACCUGACGAGAAUCCAAGCCACCGCCGGAGGCGAUGCAGUGUACUGGGAGACCACCAUCAACUCCUUCCUCGAUGACUACCGCCCGGUGGAGGGAAUAAUGAUCGCCCAUUCCGGUCGCUCCGAUGUCACCCUCUUCAGGUUCGGUGAGGCGGCAAUGAGCCACACCAAGACGAGGAUGGAGGAGGUGUGGACGAUCGAGGAAGUGGCCUUCAAUGUCCCCGGCCUCUCCAUGGAUUGCUUCAUUCCUCCUGCUGACGUGAGAUGCGUCUCGAUCGGCGAAACCUGUGAGCUUGCUCAAGGAGAAAGAGGGAAGACGACGACCGGGGUUGCGCACCGGGCGAAGGUGGCAGCUGUUGAGAAGCCACAAGACAUGCGUGACCGGAUCGUUUGGAGGCUCCAAGUGUAGGAUUGAAACUGUUUACUGCUGCUUUCUCUUCAUCAUCAUCAUCAUCUUCUUCUUGUGCUGACUAACCAUAGAGUAUAAUUCAUUGAUGGAUUGGGGGGAGAGGCUUUCUUCUUUGAUUCCUCAGUUUAUACUUCACUGUCCUUGUUUCGUCUUGCUGUUCUUUAAUCAAAUACUGUUUUCAGUUCCAAGGAUCUCAAGACAUGAAGCUGUCUGUGUAGAACAACCCUUCACUUCUCUGUAGAUUUCAGGAACUCCUCAAUGUGCUGUGAGCUUCUUCUUCUUUCUCCUGUUGUGGGACAGCAUCUGGGAGUUGGUCACUGGAAGGGGGUCCACAGGUCAUGUCCAGGUGGGAGGGUGUCUUGGGGAUGGUGGUAUGUUCCUAGUCUUCUUCAACCUUUAUUGACCAAGACCCAGAACUCUGUGCUUUGUCUCGGGACAGGUUGUGUGAAAGCAUCAUUGCAUCAAGGACAUGGGGAUUUCAAGGUCUCCAUGUGGUUUCCCAUCUCAUUCAUUACCUUUGAUUUCUUUUCCUUUCUUUUCUUUUCUUUUCCUUUCUCUGUUUUUUUUUUUUCUACUGUAAGAUCUUUGGUGAAUCUGAUAUGUCCACCACCUUUGCAGAUGCUAUGCAUCCCCAACCAAAUUUGACCAAAUCUGACACUUGAUCUUCUUCAAUGCAGCACCAUGGCCCUUUGUUUCUGUAUUCUUUUGAUCUUAUAUCUUGCAGUAGAUCUGAUAUGUUCAGUACCUUUGCACAUAUUAUCCAUCUCAAUGAUUUGAAUAUUUGUGGUGUAGUCUCUCCCAACAUAAUAUCAUGGAUAUGCUGCAUCAAAGUAUAACCAAGAUAAGAAUAUUGAAGUAGAUGUCCAAAGUUAUUAGGAAAGCUAUAAAAAAAUAUUUCAUAAGUGAAUAAUUAACUAUAGCUCCUACAUUAAAAUAAACAUGUCUUGAGAAGAUCAACAAAUAUUAUAGUCAGAUGAGAUGAAGAUCUUACUAAAACUACAAAAAAAGAUAUUUGAACACUUUUGAUUUAACUAAAGACAUUACUCUAUAUAAUCAAUUAAAGUUGGGACAAAAUGAUUUGUUGUUGUACAUCCAGAGUCUUCCUAGUGUUGAAGUAGUGUUAACAUCAACACUACUUCCCAUUGACCAAGCAACCUGAUUGCUUUCGAGUCCUAUUUACAUCUAAAGCAAAAGCCUUUACAUGUGUGCAAAAGAACUAUUACUAGGUUUUAGGUGAUCAAACCAUGCUGUUGUGGUAUUAAAGAUGUAAACCAACAAAUCAUACUCCUCUCAGGUUGAAUUAAACCUCCAGCCUUUGCAUGCAUAUUCCUCUCAAAUCAUCCCCUUGAUUCCUUUUUUUAGUGUCUUCUUUCCAAUCUUUCAGUGAGUCAAAAUUACAAACACCAAGCAUGCUUUGUAUAAGAAUCUAUGGUCAUGUCCAAGGUAGCAGGAUAUCAGGCUAUCAACAUUUUGCAGUCACUGCACUAUCACACAACCUGUUUCUGAACCACCACUGUUUCAGUCCUGGUAAGCUUUCAGCUAUUUUGGACAUGUGUGUACUGCCCUUUAAUGCCUUCCAAAGGCUUCAACUCUUGCCACUUACAUCCCAUGUGCUUCAGCCUCCCACACUUGCAGAGUUGAAACCAAAGGACACAGGAAGAUGUCAUCCACAUCUAUUCUUCUCUGUCAUAUCAUGUAAAGUCCUGCUUGGUAGUGAUGAAUGAACAGAAUCAUUGUAGCUUCCAGGAAAACAGGAACUAUAAAGGUUGGUAAUCUAUUAAGAUCCAUAUCAUUUAAGGAAAUAUCUAACUUUCGUGUAUUAAAAAAGUACAAAGAACUUGAUCAGUGGGAUUACUUGAUCCAAACAUGCUCUUUGUUCUUUGCUGUAUCUGACAUCCAGAAACAAGGUUUGUUUCCCUGAAAUUAUCCAAAGAAAAGAUCAGAAAAUAGAAUAUAAGUAGACAAAAUUUCCCCUCCUUCAAACAAAUAGUUACUUCUCUAAUGCAUUAAAAGUUCUAGCUCCUUGUGCACAUCAUGAUUCAUUACAAUGAAAGUGAAAAAGGAAAGCUAAGGUUUGCUUGCUUAACAGUGGUGAAAGAAAUUGACAAUAGUGAUGAUAUGUUGGCACAUCUUCCUCUCAAAUCCGAAGUGAAAUGCUGAUGGGAAUGUUUGUCUUGAUCCUGGGACAUACAGCAGCAAAUAAAUGAUAUGGAAUCUAGUGGCAGUGUGCAGGCUACUCCAUUUAUGGUCUGAGCAUAUUGUUCUCAUGGUCGAUCCAUUGUCUAUCUUCUUUGGUUCCCACAGAGAGAAAAUUCCUAAUUAGCCUCACCAGGAACAAGAUAAGAAUUACUGGAGGGACCCAAAUUUCAUGUUUGAAGAUUACAUGUAUCUCACAAUUAAUUUGACAGCUGUCCACAAGUACCUUUUCUGAAAAAGAUGGAGAAAUAGGAAAGAUUGGCGAUUUAAUAUGCAGAGAUGUGCAACAAAUCAACUCAAUGACCUGUCUGGACUACUAGAAGAUGUGAAACAAAACCCUGACAAGUCAUACAACCGAAGUUCGAUUAUGCAUUUACCUUAUAAGUAUGUACAAGAAAGAAAAUAAACUUACCUUGAAGACACUAGGAAUAUGAAACCUCAAGGUGGAAUUCAACAAGUAAUAACAAGAUAUAAAGGAAAGCAAACCUUGAUAUACUGAUCCAGGCAAGAAAACGUCAGCCAUACUCUGAAUAUUAAACUUCUAGGUGCAAUUCAACUUCUAGUAUAACAAGAUGUAAAGGUAAGCAAACCUUGAUAUAGUGAUCCAGAUAAGAAAAUUUCAGCCAUACAAUAAACUUGGCUGUCGGCGUUCCUUCCAAAGCCAGUAGUAUGUUUUUGUCACAAAAGAAAAACAAGCCAAAAGAACAAUUAGAUACAGAAAUCAGAUACUGAACAAGAGACUCUAUCCAGGAACAGGAAACCUUGAUACAAUGAUGUAAAGCAAACCUUGAUAUUCAUGAUCCUGGCAAUCAAAAUUCAGCCAUACAAUGGACUUGAGCAUCAGAGUUACUUCCAAAGCCAGUGUUAUGUUUUAUCACAAAAGAAGAGAAAGCCAGUAGUAGUUUGAGAUACAGAAAUCAGAUGUUAAACAAGAGACUCGAUUCAGGAAUAGGAAAUAGGAACCCACAACUGAGUAGAAACAUGGCAGGAGAAGAAUAUUGAUUGCUAAACUCACUCACUAACCAACCUUCACAUUUCUUAUUAAAAUGUGAGGCACACACAUAAUUGACAUGAUGCAUAUCAUUCAAGUAAUGCAGGAUGCCAGACAUUCUGGAACAAGUAUGAUUUCUUGUCUAAGCUGCAUAAACACAUCAAAUCUGAGCUUAAAGUAGCUUAAUCUUCUCCACAUUGCGGAGAUAGAACGAAGAAGGAAUACAGAACCAAUGCUGACUGUGAAACACAUGAAACUAUCGAUAAGGUAAGGGCAUGAUACAACCAUUGUUACUUAACAGGAAAGAUGAUGUUAUUGCGAACAUGUGAAUUCCCACAUGAAGCACACAGAGGCACAGCCGAAGAGGAGGGAAUAGAACUACUAUGUCUUUAAUCGAUUCAUUAUCUCUUGUGCAAAAGGCCUGAACCAAGCAUAGAAUAAGCCAUAAAUUGCAUAACUGCUUUCCUCCACUUAUCAAGAUAAUUUUGCUACAUAAUUAAGCACAUAGAUGAUAGGAUAAGGGAAACCACAUGACAAAGGAAGAAUGCUUUCACUCAGUGCAUCAUAGAUAACUCCAAGUCAAUAGUUCUGAAGAAGAUGAGUGGAGUUUACGUUAAUGAAAAUCAACGAGUUACAAUGUAAUGGUAAAGAGAAUCCUGAUCAACCGACACCAAGUUUUCUAUGUAUUGUGAGCAGCCAAUGGAAGAUCACCUAGAUAAGUGUCCUCAGCUUAUAUCUAUUCUUACAGAAUGCUUGUCAUCACACUGACCCCUUCCUCCAAUCAUAGUAUGGUUUCUAGAACCUUAGUGUCUAGUUACUUGAACAAGACAUCAUCCAAGCUAUAGCACAGUUAUUGAUGCAUAAAACACAAACAAAAAAGAGCAAAUUGCUUACAGUAUCAGUACAAAAUGCAACUUAUAAUAGCACAAUCAGUAUAAAUGUGACAUUUUAAUACAUGUUUUUUUACUUAAAGAGCAACCUAACGAGAAAUGUACAAGUCAGUU